rnacentral:rRNA from 1 species
GGAUUAGGCAUGCAAGUCGAACGAGAUUUCCGGGCGUAGCAAUACGAACGGGAUGAAAGUGGCGGAAGGGUGCGUAACACGUGGGUAAUCUGCCUCUCAGCUUGGGAUAACUCCGCGAAAGCGGGGCUAAUACCGGAUGUGAUACCUUGGCGCAUGUCGAGGCUAUCAAGGGCGGGGAUCCUUCGGGACCUGUCGCUGGGAGAUGAACCCGCGUCCUAUCAGCUUGUUGGUGGGGUAACGGCUCACCAAGGCUUACGGGUAGCUGGUCUGAGAGGAUGGUCAGCCACACUGGGACUGAGACACUGCCCAGACUCCUACGGGAGGCUGCAGUCGAGGAUCAUUCGCAAUGCGCGAAAGCGUGACGAUGCGACGCUGCGUGGAGGAUGAAGGCCUUCGGGUUGUAAACUCCUGUCAUUCGGGAACAAUGACCGGGCGUUAACACCGCCUUGGUAGUGCUAGUACCGGAAGAGGAAGCCACGGCUAACUCUGUGCCAGCAGCCGCGGUAAUACAGA